rnacentral:rRNA from 1 species
UACGUAGGGUGCGAGCGUUAAUCGGAAUUACUGGGCGUAAAGAGUGCGUAGGCGGUUCUUGAAGUCCGCUGUGAAAGCCCCGGGCUUAACCUGGGGAUGGCAGUGGAAACUGGAGGACUUGAAUUGAGCAGAGGGGGGUGGAAUGCCGCGUGUAGCAGUGAAAUGCGUAGAGAUGCGGCGGAACACCGAUGGCGAAGGCAGCCCCCUGGGCUGAGAUUGACGCUCAGGCACGAAAGCGUGGGGAGCAAACAGG